rnacentral:rRNA from 1 species
CUUUUAGGUCAUUGCAUACUGAAUACAUAGGUAUGCAAAGCGAACGCGGCGAACUGAAACAUCUAAGUAGCUGCAGGAAAAGAAAUCAACCGAGAUUCCCAAAGUAGUGGCGAGCGAAAUGGGAUGAGCCUGUACGUGAUAGUCGAUUGGAUAGUGGAACAACCUGGAAAUGUUGGCCAUAGCGGGUGAUAGCCCCGUACACGAAAUCCAAACGGUGAUACUAAGCGUACGACAAGUAGGG